GUUGAACGCUGGCGGCAGGCUUAACACAUGCAAGUCGAGCGGGGUGAUGGUGCUUGCACUAUCACUUAGCGGCGGACGGGUGAGUAAUGCUUAGGAAUCUGCCUAUUAGUGGGGGACAACAUCUCGAAAGGGAUGCUAAUACCGCAUACGUCCUACGGGAGAAAGCAGGGGAUCACUUGUGACCUUGCGCUAAUAGAUGAGCCUAAGUCGGAUUAGCUAGUUGGUGGGGUAAAGGCCUACCAAGGCGACGAUCUGUAGCGGGUCUGAGAGGAUGAUCGGCAAAACUGGGACUGCGACACGGCCCAGACUCCUACGGGAGGCAGCAGUGGGGAAUAUUGGGCAAUGGGGGGAACCCUGAUCCAGCCAUGCCGCGUGUGUGAAGAAGGCCUUAUGGUUGUAAAGCACUUUAAGCGAGGAGGAGGCUCUUUUGGUUAAUACCCAAGAUGAGUGGACGUUACUCGCAGAAUAAGCACCGGCUAACUCUGUGCCAGCAGCCGCCGUAA
rnacentral:rRNA from 1 species